CCUGGGGGUGACAUCUCAAUGUGUGGAAACAGGAAGAGCUGUAUGCAAAUCUGGCCUGUGUGUCACCGUCUAUAACAGACCGUUCCUGUGAGAGCAGAGGGACAGUGAUGCGCGCCAGUCAAAGUCGUCCUCACUGCAACUGCACUGCAAAUAUGAUCCGUCUGCUCCUUCCCCUCUUGGCCUUUCUGCCAUGUCUGGACGCCAUCACUUUGACCUCCUCCCCUGCUCAGGCCAAGUCACCUGGAGGGUCCGUGAAGGUGUCCUGUCAGGUUUCUGGGUACGCCUUGACAGAUUACGGCACGAGCUGGAUUCGGAAGCGUCCGGGGAAAGCCAUGGAGUGGAUGGGAAUCAUCUGGGGAGGCGGAAGCAUCGACUCUCCCGCGCAGUUCAAGAGCCGGUUCACCAUCUCCAGAGACAGCAGCAACGUGCUGUACUUGGAUAUCAGCAGCCUGCAGACUGAGGACACAGCCGUGUAUUACUGCGCUCGACUCACACAGUGACGCAGGGCGGUGCCGCGUCUGUACAUAAACCCACAGGCUGCCUCAGAGACACACGGCCUCGUGCUCCCCUCCAGAUCAGUGA